GAUGAACGCUGGCGGCGUGCCUAAUACAUGCAAGUCGAGCGAACGGACGAGAAGCUGGCUUCUCUGAUGUUUGCGGCGGGGGGGUGUGUAGCACGUGGAUAACCUAUCUAUAAGGCGGGGAAAACUUCGGGAAGCCGGCUCUAAUACCGUAUAAUAUUUUGAACCGCAUGAUUCACAAAUGAAAUACGGUCUUACUGCCACCUAUAGGUGGUGCGGCGUUGCAUUGGCUAGUUGGUAUGGUAACGGCUUACCAAGGCAACGUUGCAUAGCCGACCGGAGAGGGUGAUCGGCCACACUGGAACUGGGACACGCUCAGGCUUCCUCGGGGAGGCACCAGUAGGGAAUUUUCGGCAAUGGGCGAAAGCCUGACGGAGAAACGCCCCGUGAGUGAUGAAGGUCUUCGGUUCGUAAGACCUUUUUAUAGGGGAGGACCAUUGGUGUAAGUAACUGUGCACACUUUGACGGUACCUAAUCAGAAAGCCACGGCUAACUACGUG
rnacentral:rRNA from 1 species